GGAUGGAAACAACACACUUAACAUAGAAACGAAUGACUCCUUUGCUUCUACAGUGCAAGGAUUUUUGUACAAAACUUUUUUAAGUAUAAAUGUUAAGAAAAGAAUUUUUAAAAAGACACUUCAUUAUGUUUAGGGGGGAACAGCAUUUUAGGGUUCCAUUGUCUUGGUGGUGUUACAAGACCUGUUAUCCAUUUAAAAAUGGUAGUGGAAAUUCUAUGCCUUGGAUCACACACCGCUCUUCAGGUUGUAAAAAAAAAUGAAAACAAAACAAAACAAAAAAAAAACAUACAUGGGGAAAGGUUUAAGAUUAUAUAGUACUUAAAAAUAGGAAAACGCACACUCAUGUUGAUUCCUAUGCUAAAACACAGUUAUGGUCUUCUUUCUGUAUUUCUAGAAUGGUAUUUGAAUUAAAUGUUCAUCUAGUGUUAGGCACUAUAGUAUUUAUAUUGAAGCUUGUAUUUUUAACUGUUGCUUGUUCACUCAAAAGGUAUCAAUGUACCUUUUUGUUAGUAGAAAAAAAAAGACAGGCUGCCACAGUAUAUUUUUUUAAUUUGGCAGGAUAAUAUAGUGCAAAUUAUUUGUAUGCUG
rnacentral:lncRNA from 1 species